CGCACGGGUGAGUAACACGUGAAUGAUCUACCUCCGAGUGGGGAAUAACUGAGAGAAAUCUUAGCUAAUACCGCAUAACACUUACGAGUCAAAGCAGCAAUGCGCUUGGAGAGGAGUUCGCGGCCGAUUAGUUAGUUGGCGGGGUAAUGGCCCACCAAGACGAUGAUCGGUAUCCGGCCUGAGAGGGCGCACGGACACACUGGAACUGAAACACGGUCCAG
rnacentral:rRNA from 1 species